rnacentral:rRNA from 1 species
GACAGAGGGUGCAAACGUUGUUCGGAAUUACUGGGCGUAAAGGGCGCGUAGGCGGCCAUCUAAGUCAGACGUGAAAUCCCCCGGCUUAACCUGGGAACUGCGUCUGAUACUGGAAGGCUUGAGUAUGGGAGAGGGAUGUAGAAUUCCAGGUGUAGCGGUGAAAUGCGUAGAUAUCUGGAGGAAUACCGGUGGCGAAGGCGGCAUCCUGGACCAUUACUGACGCUGAGGCGCGAAAGCUAGGGGAGCAAACAGG